AUUUGAUGCUGCGGGCAUCUAGUGCACAACUUGUUGAAUCUUUCCCAAUAGUCGUAUAAGGACUCCACGGAAUACUGCUUGAUGCUGUAUAUCUCAUUUCUCAAACU